UUUAUACAACGAAGAGUUUGAUCCUGGCUCAGGAUGAACGCUAGCGGGAGGCUUAACACAUGCAAGUCGAGGGGCAGCAUUCACUUCGGUGAGAUGGCGACCGGCGCACGGGUGCGUAACGCGUAUGCAACCUACCUUAUACAGAGGGAUAGCCCAGAGAAAUUUGGAUUAAUACCUCAUGGUUUUCUGAAUCUGCAUGGAUUUAGAAAUAAAGUUUCGGCGGUAUAAGAUGGGCAUGCGUAUGAUUAGCUAGUUGGUGAGGUAAUAGCUCACCAAGGCGACGAUCAUUAGGGGUUCUGAGAGGAUUAUCCCCCACACUGGUACUGAGACACGGACCAGACUCCUACGGGAGGCAGCAGUGAGGAAUAUUGGUCAAUGGGCGCAAGCCUGAACCAGCCAUCCCGCGUGCAGGAUGACGGCCCUAUGGGUUGUAAACUGCUUUUAUCUACCAAGAAACGCAGGUACGUGUACUUGUCUGACGGUAGUAGAUGAAUAAGCACCGGCUAACUCCGUGCCAGCAGCCGCGGUAAUACGGAGGGUGCAAGCGUUAUCCGGAUUUAUUGGGUUUAAAGGGUGCGUAGGCGGCAAAAUAAGUCAGUGGUGAAAUCCUGCAGCUUAACUGUAGAACUGCCAUUGAAACUGUUUAGCUUGAGUAUAGUUGAGGUAGGCGGAAUGAGUAGUGUAGCGGUGAAAUGCUUAGAUAUUACUCAGAACACCGAUUGCGAAGGCAGCUUACUAAACUAUAACUGACGCUGAUGCACGAAAGCGUGGGUAGCGAACAGGAUUAGAUACCCUGGUAGUCCACGCCGUAAACGAUGCUCACUCGCUGUUUGCGAUACACAGUAAGCGGCUAAGCGAAAGUGAUAAGUGAGCCACCUGGGGAGUACGCCGGCAACGGUGAAACUCAAAGGAAUUGACGGGGGCCCGCACAAGCGGAGGAACAUGUGGUUUAAUUCGAUGAUACGCGAGGAACCUUACCUGGGCUUAAAUGUAGAGUGCAUGAGGUGGAAACACUUCUUUUCUUCGGAACUCUUUACAAGGUGCUGCAUGGUUGUCGUCAGCUCGUGCCGUGAGGUGUCGGGUUAAGUCCCAUAACGAGCGCAACCCUUAUCGUUAGUUGCCAUCAGGUGAUGCUGGGGACUCUAGCGAGACUGCCACCGUAAGGUGAGAGGAAGGUGGGGAUGACGUCAAAUCAGCACGGCCCUUAUGUCCAGGGCUACACACGUGUUACAAUGGUCGGUACAAAGGGCAGCUACCUAGUGAUAGGAUGCUAAUCUCUAAAGCCGGUCUCAGUUCGGAUCGGAGUCUGCAACUCGACUCCGUGAAGCUGGAUUCGCUAGUAAUCGCGCAUCAGCCAUGGCGCGGUGAAUACGUUCCCGGGCCUUGUACACACCGCCCGUCAAACCAUGGAAGCUGGGGGUGCCUGAAGUCUGUGACCGAAAGGAGCGGCCUAGGGUAAAACUAGUAACUAGGGUUAAGUCGUAACAAGGUAGCCGUACCGGAAGGUGUGGCUGGAACACCUCCUUUCUGGA
rnacentral:rRNA from 1 species